CGGACGGGUGAGUAACGCGUGGAAAACCUGCCGUAUACUGGGGGAUAACACUUAGAAAUAGGUGCUAAUACCGCAUAAGCGCACAGCUUCGCAUGAAGCGGUGUGAAAAACUCUGGUGGUAUACGAUGGUUCCGCGUCUGAUUAGCUAGUUGGUGGGGUAAUGGCCCACCAAGGCAACGAUCAGUAGCCGGCCUGAGAGGGUGAACGGCCACAUUGGGACUGAGACACGGCCCAAACUCCUACGGGAGGCAGCAG
rnacentral:rRNA from 1 species